UGUGAUGAGAAGGAGGAGGAGGACGACGAGAUCUGCACAAAUCGCUGCAGCCCUCUUGCUCCCGGCGCCGGCCAAGGCCGCGGAGGAGGAGGAGGAGGACGACGAUAGCGGCGACUUGCGGGCCAUUUUUUUUGUGCGAAUGAGGCGAGGCUUCUUGGGGGCGAAGGUGGAGGCGGAGGAGCUGGCGCCGAGGUUGGCGGUGGUGGUGAGCUGCUGGCGCUCGCGGCNUCCCAAUUGACCCUCGUACAGCACCCCUCCUCGUCCCCUUCCUCCGGCACCGACAGCACCCACCUCGACCACCGUCGCCACUCUAAACCUCGAGGGUGGCGACCCAUGAGGCAAUAUUGGUGAACGGAGCUGCUGUUCCCGACAGUGGCAGAGAUGAAGAACGGGUUUCUCAGCAACGAAGAAGGCGUCCACGGCGAUGGUGUCGAGGUGGAAGGCAUGAUGAUGCUACCAGUGGUGAGGGAGACGAUGUCGACCCGCCGACCACAGCGAUGUCGAAUGUGACGAGAAGGAGGAGGACGAGGGCGACGAGAUCUGCACAAAUCGCUGCGGCCCUCUUGCUCCCGGCGCCGGCCAAGGCCGCGUAGGAGGAGGAGGACGACGACGAGAGCGGCGACUCGCGGGCCAUUUUUUUUGUGCGAAUGAGGCGAGGCUUCUUGGGGGCGAAGGUGGAGGCAAAGGAGCUGGCACCGAGGUUGGCGGUGGUGGUGAGCUGCUGGCGCUCGCGGCAGCGGGCGGCGGGCGGCAGGGACGCAAGUUAGGAGAGAGAGAGGAUAAAUUGGGAGAGAAAGAGAGGAUAAUUUAAGGAAAUAGUUUAAUAAGGUAGGGGCAAAAUAGGUAUUUUAAUUAGGUUUUAACUCUGGUAUACAUUUAACCCAUGUUUAACUCGAGUUAAACUAAUAGAGCAUAGCUGCGGGGAUAUUUUGGAAUAACGGUGGAACAUAUGAGGAGCAUUUUAGAAAGAAAAAAAAAAGUAAGGGUAGAUCGGAUAUUUCCAGACGCAUGAGGGGUAUAUAGGCAAUUAUCGCAUAUAUAUAUAUAUAGAGCAGGGCUACUGUGCUCUUAGGAGCACGGAGGCCUCCGUGCUCCUAAAUCGUUUUCGAUGAUGGAAUUUCCGAAUUGACGAUCGGCUCCAUUAAACUUGAUUUAGCGUAUUUGAAGUUUCUAGAAAAUAAUUUUUGCGAUUUUUCGAUAUCAUUUACCUAGCAAUCGAAAUGAUUCAAAAUAAAUAAUUUUUAACGGCUGAAAAUAAAAAUCCUAUAAAAAGUGGUGAUAUAGCACUAAAAUUUUCGAUCAGAAAUAUUAAUUUUGUUGUAGAUAGUAUAAAGAAUUUUGUAUCAAAAUUUCAUCUGAUUUGAAUAUUCUACACCGUUAAACUUGAAAACGGCAGAUAUCAACCAUUAAAAAUUAUGAAUUUUGAAUCCUUUCGAUCACUAGGUAAAUGAUAUAAAAAAAUCGCAAAGAUUAUUUUCAAGAAACUUCAAAUGCGCUAGAUCAAGUCUAACGGAGCCGAUCGUCGAUUCGAAAAUUCUAUCAGCGAAAACGGCUCAGGAGCAUUG
rnacentral:lncRNA from 1 species